GCCCCUACCUUCCCAAUAAGAUGUCAAAGGAAAACCAUUGGAAGAAGAAAGUGGCAGCAGAAAGAGAUAUGAGAAGGAUGAUCGUGACCUUCUAGCCGUGAAACCAGGUGAUCUAUGCUUCAUACCUGUUCCUUCAAGCCUGGAAAAGAUCUUUUACUCAUAGAACAGGCUCCUCUUAAGGCAUGGAAUCUGGCCCUGCAGAUUCACAGGAGGGGAAAACAGAGAAGCAAGAGCAGGAACUGGGCAGAAAUGCGAGCCAUGAACACAGUAUUUUCCAAUAUCAAUGCCAAGUUGGCUGAACAACUAAGCAACCUGCUCAGUGAACUUGAGUUCUGGGCAGCAAUAUAUGAGAAUCCAAUGCAAGAAUCAAGGACAGUACUAGGACACCAAGCCAGAGAAUCUGUUAUGGCAGAAGAUUAAAAAGCUUUCAAAGAGAAGCAGAGAA